rnacentral:rRNA from 1 species
AUGACAGUGUUGCGGCUCCCAAAAAAGCUUUUGAAGGAUAUUAACAAGGCCUGACAGUGAUUCCUCUGGGCGCAUGAUGAAGAAUUGUCAGGCGGAAAGUGCAAAGUAAACUGGAAAACUGUAUGCUCUCCCACCCAAAAGGGCGGGCUAGGCAUUCAGGAUCUUCACCUUUUCGGCAGAGCACUACGUCUCCGGUGGCUUUGGCUGGAAUGGAUGCAGCUGGACAGGCCUUGGAAAGCUUUCCCAAUCCCGUGCGACAGCAAUGACAGGGGCCUCUUCACUUGAGUCACAAAGAUUGCCAUCGGAGACGGCAUGAUGACGAAAUUUUGGACCUGUCACUGGUUGGGAGAUGAACCACUCUGCCAAACUUUCCCAAUGCUGUUCAAGCGAUCUAGAAGCAAGCUUAAAACAGUGGUCGAGGCUCUACAAAACGAAAGCUGGAUCCGCAACCUUGGUAAUGGGCGGUAUGAAUAA